rnacentral:rRNA from 1 species
CCUACGGGGGGCAGCAGUGGGGGAUAUUGCACAAUGGGGGGAACCCUGAUGCAGCGACGCCGCGUGGGUGAAGGAGUAUUUCGGUAUGUAAAGCCCUAUCGGCAGGGAAGAAGCAAGACGUUACCUGACUAAGAAGCCCCGGCUAACUACGUCCCAGCAGCCGCGGUAAUACGUAGGGGGCGAGCGUUAUCCGGAUUCACUGGGUGUAAAGGGAGCGUAGACGGCCAUGCAAGCCAGGGGUGAAAGCCCGGGGCCCAACCCCGGGACUGCCCUUGGAACUGCAUGGCUGGAGUGCGGGAGGGGCAGGCGGAAUUCCUGGUGUAGCGGUGAAAUGCGUAGAUAUCAGGAGGAACACCGGGGGCGAAGGCGGCCUGCUGGACCGCGACUGACGUUGAGGCUCGAAAGCGUGGGGAGCGAACAGGAUUAGAUACCCUUGUAGUC